CCCCUCUCAGGAUCACACCUGGAGAGUUUCCAGCAUUCUACCAGUCUCGGCUAUGGGAGGGAGAAUCAAGCAGAGAUGUAUCCAUUUCAUUACUAGCUUGGGAAAUGGCUAGCGAAUGGAAGGCAAUCUGCUACAAGU